rnacentral:rRNA from 1 species
GAUGAACGCUAGCUACAGGCUUAACACAUGCAAGUCGAGGGACCGGCGCAUGGGUGAGUAACACGUAUCCAACCUGCACUUUACACGGGGAUAGACUUUCGAAAGAAAGAUUAAUACCCGAUGUAAAGGAUGGGGAUGCGUUCCAUUAGAGUGUAGGUGUGGGAACGGCUCACCAAGCCUUCGAUGGAUAGGGGUUCUGAGAGGAAGGUCCCCCAGAUUGGAACGGGUGCUCGUUCCAAACUGCUACGGAAGGCAGGAGUAAUAAAUAUUGGUGAAUGGUCGUUAGCCGGAACCAGCCAAGUAGCGUGAAGAAUGAAGGGUUAUUGGUCGUAAACCUCUUUUAUAUAAGAAUAUGUAUUAUAUGAAUAAGGAUCGGCUAACUCCGUGGCAGCCGCCGCGGUAAUUC